ACCCCCGUAUUGUUGUUGCUGGUCUGGGUUGCAAUCGAGCUUAGCCUUGUUCGUUUUUUUCCACAACAGCCUCGUAAAAAUCGAACAGGGUCCACGAAAGCCCCGCAAUCCGUAGCCUUCCGCUGUUAAAUACUUGCCCUGAAUUGCGGCAAAAACGGCCCUUUUGCGCCCUUUCAGGGCAA
rnacentral:sRNA from 1 species